CACGUAGGGCGCGAGCGUUGUCCGGAAUUAUUGGGCGUAAAGAGCUCGUAGGCGGCCUGUUGCGUCCGCUGUGAAAGCCCCGGGGCUUAACCCCCGGGGUCGGCAGUGGAUACGGGCAGGCUAGAGGUAGGUAGGGGGAGAAUGGAAUUCCCGGUGUAGCGGUGAAAUGCGCAGAUAUCGGGGAGGAACACCGGUGGCGAAGGCGGGUCUCUGGGCAGUAACUGACGCUGAGGAGCGAAAGCGUGGGGAGCGAACAGG
rnacentral:rRNA from 1 species